GCACCAAUGGCUCAGUCGGUUAGACUCUAGAGCAUGGUGCUGAUAAUGCCAAGAUUGCAGGUUCAAUCCCUGUAUGGGACA